AAAACAUUUCUUGCCUGUUCAUUAAAAUUGAGCUUUGUUUAGGUUUUGUUUGCCCCCACAUUCUGUGGUUUUGGAACAUUCACUCGAAUCAGUAAGAUUCACAGUAUGUUAAAAUUGGCUUGAUGACCCCUCCUAGCCACCCUAGGACUGCCUAACAACGCCUAGACCACAGAGGAGCCCACAUGAGGCGACACAGGACCCCGAGAGCACCAUCUGAACCGAGACCCAGCGGAUCACAACACCCAGUACCAUGAACGAUGUGGACUGCUACUAUUAGCCAUUGCACACCCAUGCCCUUGAGUUCCUAAUGUUUACUUACUUAUAUGCAUGUGUUUAUGUAUACAUACAUAUACUUUUCUCUUUUCUACCC